rnacentral:rRNA from 1 species
AUUAGAGUUUGAUCCUGGCUCAGGACGAACGCUGGCGGCGUGCUUAACACAUGCAAGUCGAACGGAACACCCUUGACAGAGGUUUCGGCCAAUGAAGAGGAAUGUUUAGUGGCGGACUGGUGAGUAACGCGUGAGGAACCUGCCUUUCAGAGGGGGACAACAGUUGGAAACGACUGCUAAUACCGCAUGAAGCAGCGAGGGGACAUCCCCUUGCUGUCAAAGAUUUAUCGCUGAAAGAUGGCCUCGCGUCUGAUUAGCUAGUUGGUGGGGUAACGGCCCACCAAGGCGACGAUCAGUAGCCGACCUGAGAGGGUGAUCGGCCACAUUGGAACUGAGAGACGGUCCAAACUCCUACGGGAGGCAGCAGUGGGGAAUAUUGGGCAAUGGGCGAAAGCCUGACCCAGCAACGCCGCGUGAAGGAAGAAGGUCUUCGGAUCGUAAACUUCUAUCCCCGGUGAAGAUAAUGACGGUAACCGGGAAGGAAGCCCCGGCUAACUACGUGCCAGCAGCCGCGGUAAUAAU